ACCCAGCCGGCUAGGACACGCCCCCGACAGGGCAGAGUUCCUGGACCCUCCAGGAUGGACAAUUAAGGAACGCUGAAAAUCGCCGUCGAGACCCUGCUCCAACUCCGUCUUUUUUCAGCUACUUAACAGUCGGGAGUGCUGACUAUAUGGUACGAAAUGGGGCUAUUUUCCAGGAGGUGCUGCUCUAGGAGCUUAAGUCCCCUGUGGGUUCCCUCUCCAAAUCACAGUUGCUCUCAGAAGCAAGUUUACACCACCAGAAGCUCCUGCCCCACAUAUGCCCCACUGUGAUCUAGCCAAGUGGACUUCCAGAACUUCUGUCCACUUCCCUGAACGUUUACACUCUCUUGGUUGGAAUAUAUUUAUCUGGAAGCCUAGUACACUUUAAAGUGUCUCAGACCAGGUACUUCUGAGGUGUCUCACCUGAGCUCCCACAACCCUCUGAGACUUCCCAGUUGUACUGCAUGUUAUCUUCAGUCCUUGACUUUCGUUUAUUUGACAGUCUCAGAAGGUGGAGCCCCUAUUUGAUUAUACCUCCAAUGCCGACUUAAUGCCUAGCACAGAGAAGUCCUUCAGAAAUAUACUUGUUAAAUGAAGUCAGAUUUCCAACUCUCCCAUCCCCUUAUGUGACUACCAGCUGCCACCAACACCAAGGACAGAUACAGACCCUCAUCUCAUACAGGCUGUUAACU
rnacentral:lncRNA from 1 species